rnacentral:rRNA from 1 species
CCGCGGUAUCCUAACCGUGCGAAGGUAGCGUAAUCACUUGUUCUUUAAAUAAGGACUAGUAUGAAUGGCACCACGAAGGUUAUACUGUCUCCUUUCUCUAAUCAGUGAAACUAAUCUUCCCGUGAAGAAGCGGGAAUAACCCUAUAAGACGAGAAGACCCUAUGGAGCUUUAAACGCAGUAACAAUUGCCCACCCAAAACUAUUCUCCGGAGAUCACAAAUUAUUUGGGCACCAUGAUUACAAGUUUUAGGUUGGGGUGACCGCGGAGCAAAAAACAACCUCCGCAGUGAACGGGAACCUCCCUAAUCUCAGGACUACACUCCUAAGAAUCAACAUAUUGACACCCAUUGACCCAAUAUUUGAUCAAUGAACCAAGUUACCCUAGGGAUAACAGCGCAAUCCACUUCAAGAGCUCCUAUCGACAAGUGGGUUUACGACCUCGAUGUUGGAUCAGGGUAUCCUAGUGGUGCAGCCGCUACUGAAGGUUCGUUUGUUCAACGAUUGAAACCCUACGUGAUCUGAGUUCAGACCGGA